rnacentral:lncRNA from 1 species
GGCAUCCCUUUCGGGAACAUUUGGCUAUUUCCGGCAAAAACAGCAUCACCGACUUAUGUACGACUCUUAUCUUUUUCUUUCUUUUUUUUUCAAAAUGGGAGACCCAAUAUUGCAAACACUGCCUUUUAGCGUCUCAGAGAAGAAUAUUUUAAGGUUGUGUGGGUCAACCGACCAAACUCUAAACAAUUACCAAAGGUGGCCGUUAAUGCAAAGUCAGCCUUAUGGCGUCCCUUUCGGAAAUAUUCGGUUAUUUUGACAAAAACAGCAUCACCCGACUUAUUUCUGACGACAAUUAAAAUUGACAUUUUUUUGGCUAUUUUAGCAAAAGAGGAGGUUGGACCCGAUGAGGGUUGCCUACGUAUCUCACACCCUGUGAGAA